AUAUAUUCUCCUGUGAAUUCUUUUUUUAUUAGAUUUUAUUAUCUAAAAAAACAUAGAUGUUCCAUUUGUACUAUAUAUCUUAUACUCUACCAUUAACAUUAAGAAAUGAAUUUUAAAAUCCGACCAACAACAAAAAAAAAUGAAUUUAAAAUAGAUUGGUUAAUUUUGUUUAUUUUUUAUUAUUAUAAAUGUGUGUGGACAGAGACUUUGUAAUCUAGGGAGUAUUGACUCUUGUUAGGUAGAUGUUUAGGUGAAAAUAGUUGGACAUUAUGGUUUAUGACUAUAUUUUUACAGGUUAAGAACAAAAAAAAAAAGAAAUUGUGUAUAAGCUAGCUGUCAUUUUGUGAAAUAUGAAAUAUCAACUUCCAUCUUUGAAGUUCAAUAUAUGGUUAAAUCCCAUCAUCCAUCCUUUAUAAAUUCC
rnacentral:lncRNA from 1 species